rnacentral:rRNA from 1 species
AUUGAACGCUGGCGGCAUGCUUUACACAUGCAAGUCGAACGGUAACAGGCCGCAAGGUGCUGACGAGUGGCGAACGGGUGAGUAAUGCAUCGGAACAUGCCCAGUCGUGGGGGAUAACGCAGCGAAAGCUGUGCUAAUACCGCAUACGAUCUAUGGAUGAAAGCGGGGGACCGUAAGGCCUCGCGCGAUUGGAGCGGCCGAUGUCAGAUUAGCUAGUUGGUGAGGUAAAGGCUCACCAAGGCGACGAUCCGUAGCUGGUCUGAGAGGACGACCAGCCACACUGGAACUGAGACACGGUCCAGACUCCUACGGGUGGCAG